rnacentral:rRNA from 1 species
CAGGUCUUUACAUCCAGUGCAAACCUAAGAGAUUAGGAGUUCCCUUCGGGGACGCUGAGACAGGUGGUGCAUGGCUGUCGUCAGCUCGUGUCGUGAGAUGUUGGGUUWAGUCCCGCAACGAGCGCAACCCUUGUCAUUAGUUGCCAUCAUUAAGUUGGGCACUCUAAUGAGACUGCCGGUGACAAACCGGAGGAAGGUGGGGAUGACGUCAAGUCAUCAUGCCCCUUAUGACCUGGGCUACACACGUGCUACAAUGGACGGUACAACGAGAAGCGAACCUGCGAAGGCAAGCGGAUCUCUGAAAGCCGUUCUCAGUUCGGACUGUAGGCUGCAACUCGCCUACACGAAGCUGGAAUCGCUAGUAAUCGCGGAUCAGCACGCCGCGGUGAAUACGUUCCCGGGCCUUGUACACACCGCCCGUCACACCAUGAGAGUCUGUAACACCCAAAGCCGGUGGGAUAACCUUUAUAGGAGUCAGCCGUCUAAGGUAGGACAGAUGAUUAGGGUG